rnacentral:rRNA from 1 species
UACGUAGGGGGCAAGCGUUGUCCGGAUUUAUUGGGCGUAAAGAGCGUGUAGGCGGUCAGGUAGGUCCGUUGUGAAAACUCGAGGCUCAACCUCGAGACGCCGAUGGAAACCAUCUGACUAGAGUCCGGAAGAGGAGAGUGGAAUUCCUGGUGUAGCGGUGAAAUGCGUAGAGAUCGGAAAGAACACCAACGGCGAAAGCACUCUGCUGGGCCGACACUGACACUGAGAGACGAAAGCUAGGGGAGCGAAUGGG